rnacentral:rRNA from 1 species
AGUCGAACGGUAACAUUUCUAGCUUGCUAGAAGAUGACGAGUGGCGGACGGGUGAGUAAUGCUUGGGAACUUGCCUUUGCGAGGGGGAUAUCAGUUGGAAACGACUGCUAAUACCGCAUAAUGUCUUCGGACCAAACGGGGCUUAGGCUCCGGCGCAAAGAGAGGCCCAAGUGAGAUUAGCUAGUUGGUAAGGUAACGGCUUACCAAGGCGACGAUCUCUAGCUGUUCUGAGAGGAAGAUCAGCCACACUGGGACUGAGACACGGCCCAGACUCCUACGGGAGGCAGCAGUGGGGAAUAUUGCACAAUGGGGGAAACCCUGAUGCAGCCAUGCCGCGUGUGUGAAGAA